AGGAUGUGUUCGCACUGCUUGUUCCCAGUUGUUGUGACAAGUCUGGAACAAGUUGUUAUCAUCUUGUUACAAGGUUGAUGACGGUAACAGACUUGCUACAAGUUGUUCCAACAAGACUAAUACAGGCUGUUCGUAACAAGUUGCCACGAGCUUGUUGUCAUCAACUUGUUAACAACUUGUUACGUGCAGACGAUAUCAGACUUGUUGGAACAACUUGUUGCGAGUCUGUUGGCCUAAUCAACCUUGUUACAAGAUGAUAACAACUUUUCCAGACUUGUCAACAACUGGGAACAAGCAGUGCGAACACAUCUUGUUGACAAGCUGUCAGAUUUUACGCGUGAACUAUUACUACAAUUCAUUGUUUACUUUGGAAACAGGUAGUCGAUAGACGCUAUGUUGUUUUUGACUGGUUUUACGUUUAUUUGAUUCAAAUGGAC